GAGCGAGAAAGUGUAGCAAUACAUGAGUACAGCGGCGCACGGGUGAGUAACACGUGGAUAACCUGCCUCGAAGUGGGGAAUAACCCCGGGAAACCGGAGCUAAUACCGCAUAAUCUGACGAAGUCUGCGGAUUUUGUCAGCAAAGGAGCAAUUCGCUUUGAGAGGGGUCCGCGGCUGAUUAGCUAGUUGGUGAGGUAAUGGCUCACCAAGGCCACGAUCAGUAGCCGGUCUGAGAGGACGGUCGGCCACACUGGAACUGAGACACGGUCCAGACUCCUACGGGAGGCAGCAGUGGGGAAUUUUUCGCAAUGGGGGCAACCCUGACGAAGCAACGCCGCGUGGGUGAUGAAGUAUNUCGGUACGUAAAACCCUUUCGACGGGGACGAAACCGCAAGGUUGACGGUACCCGUAGAAGAAGCCCCGGCUAACUCCGUG
rnacentral:rRNA from 1 species